UGGGGAAUAUUGCACAAUGGGCGCAAGCCUGAUGCAGCCAUGCCGCGUGUAUGAAGAAGGCCUUCGGGUUGUAAAGUACUUUCAGCGAGGAGGAAGGCGGUAAGGUUAAUAACCUUAUCGAUUGACGUUACUCGCAGAAGAAGCACCGGCUAACUCCGUGCCAGCAGCCGCGGUAAUACGGAGGGUGCAAGCGUUAAUCGGAAUUACUGGGCGUAAAGCGCACGCAGGCGGUCUGUCAAGUCGGAUGUGAAAUCCCCGGGCUCAACCUGGGAACUGCAUUCGAAACUGGCAGGCUAGAGUCUUGUAGAGGGUGGUAGAAUUCCAGGUGUAGCGGUGAAAUGCGUAGAGAUCUGGAGGAAUACCGGUGGCGAAGGCGGCCCCCUGGACAAAGACUGACGCUCAGGUGCGAAAGCGUGGGGAGCAAACA
rnacentral:rRNA from 1 species